UACGAACGGAUCCUUCGGGAUUAGUGGCGGACGGGUGAGUAACACGUGGGAACGUGCCCUUUGGUUCGGAACAACUCAGGGAAACUUGAGCUAAUACCGGAUGUGCCCUUCGGGGAAAGAUUUAUCGCCAUUGGAGCGGCCCGCGUCUGAUUAGCUAGUUGGUGGGGUAAAGGCCCACCAAGGCGACGAUCAGUAGCUGGUCUGAGAGGAUGAUCAGCCACAUUGGGACUGAGACACGGCCCAA
rnacentral:rRNA from 1 species